UACGAAGGGGCUAGCGUUGCUCGGAAUCACUGGGCGUAAAGGGUGCGUAGGCGGGUUUUUAAGUCAGAGGUGAAAUCCUGGAGCUACAACUCCAGAACUGCCUUUGAUACUGAAAGUCUUGAGUAUGGGAGAGGUGAGUGGAACUGCGAGUGUAGAGGUGAAAUUCGUAGAUAUUCGCAAGAACACCAGUGGCGAAGGCGGCUCACUGGCCCAUAACUGACGCUGAGGCUACGAAAGCGUGGGGAGCAAACAGGG
rnacentral:rRNA from 1 species